AUUGAACGCUGGCGGCAUGCCUUACACAUGCAAGUCGAACGGUAACAGGUCUUCGGAUGCUGACGAGUGGCGAACGGGUGAGUAAUACAUCGGAACGUGCCCGAUCGUGGGGGAUAACGGAGCGAAAGCUUUGCUAAUACCGCAUACGAUCUACGGAUGAAAGCAGGGGACCGCAAGGCCUUGAGCGGACGGAGCGGCCGAUGGCAGAUUAGGUAGUUGGUGGGAUAAAAGCUUACCAAGCCGACGAUCUGUAGCUGGUCUGAGAGGACGACCAGCCACACUGGGACUGAGACACGGCCCAGACUCCUACGGGAGGCAGCAGUGGGGAAUUUUGGACAAUGGGCGAAAGCCUGAUCCAGCCAUGCCGCGUGCAGGAUGAAGGCCCUCGGGUUGUAAACUGCUUUUGUACGGAACGAAAAGCCUCUUUCUAAUAAAGAGAGGUCAUGACGGUACCGUAAGAAUAAGCACCGGCUAACUACGUGCCAGCAGCCGCCGCGGUAA
rnacentral:rRNA from 1 species